ACGUGUUGCUAGGAUACCGGAGUCUUGACUGAUUGGAUGUUUAUCCAUGUACGCACAUCAUGAAAAUUGUGUUUUUUUUCUUCAUGUCUGGCUGGUAAAUUAACAGUUAUGGUAAAAUAGGUCAAUUUGGGCUGUAAAUUGUGUAAAUAAUCUGGAUAGCUCUCAACAAAAAGGUACUUGCUGUAGAUGUAACAGUGGACGUUAAUGGCUGCAGCCGGACUCUACAAAUUCGAUGUGGGAGACAGUUACCCCGCCAAUUGUUUUCCCAUCCGACCAUUGUUUCAUCAACGAAAAAACGGGGCUGGUCACUGGCUGGUUGCUCACAGAAAUGCAGUGGAACAUAAAUACAAAAAUACACGAACUAAGAAAUCAGAGGGAAACAGUUUGGCCUCAAACUCAAUUAUGUCUGAGUGCACACGGGUUGAAGAGUGUGCGACAUCAGAUAUUCCUGGCUAUACAUUGGAUGCUUCUCUCCUGUUGUCAUUGCAUUGUGUGGACAAGCCAUCUGACCUGUGCUCUGUUGACAUCAGUGAGCAGAGAUUGAAUUUGAUCAAUACAGAAGAUUUCCUGGAUUUUGAGAAUGUUGCUUAUGUCAACGCAUCUGACAACAGUCUUACCAUAGAGCCUUUUGGUAAAUUCCCCUCUCUGAGGGAACUUGAGCUAUCCUUGAAUGGCCUCUGCAAUGUGACACUCAAUGCGGAAGAUUUCCCUCACCUGGAGGUGUUGGAUUUGUCUUACAACAAUCUGUCUGGUGAUGACAUCAUGUCCGUUGGUCUACUUCCCUGUCUGAAAGUCCUUCAUCUCACCGGGAAUCAACUUCAGUUUCUUCCUCCCAACCUGGCAGCCCCUCCCCAUGGCCCCUCACAACGUGCAAAGGAUAAUGGCAUACGAUUUCAAACUCUUGAAGUGCUGAUGCUAGAUGACAAUAAGCUGUCCUCUGGUGUCUUCAGCAGCCUUGCCAACCUGAAAAGCAAUAUGGCAUGUCCAUUUUAGGCUACAGCAUUUAAACCUGCAAGGGAAUCGUAUCUCAGAGGUACCAGAGGUGUUGCCGAGGAACCUGCAACAGAAGGGAUAUCUGCAACACCAGCAGGUGUUUCACAAACAAAAUUGUGACCUACAGGACCUCAGGAAUCACCAUGUCUUUGAGGGGUUAGAGACUGAAUACAUGAAUGCCGUCUCCGAUGUUCCGAAACACCAGCAUGAACAUAUCAAGAACAGUUCAGAGGAUGAGUGUGGUCAAUCCAAAAACGAUUCCCCCAUUCGCAUAUCCCUUGACACUGAGGAAUUUUCUGGAGCAUACGGUUUGCCACUACCAGAGCUUUGUUUCCUCAAUCUGGCUGACAAUAAGGUCUGUAUAUUGUCUGAAUAUAUUUGGGAAGACUAUACUGUGAGUAAGUGGAGUCACUUGUGUCUCAUUAUUGCCUCCAGAUUGUUGAGGAAGAAGCACUGUUGUCUGUGGCCCUGUUUCCUAUGCUCAGUGAGAUUGUUAUUCACUCCAACCCACUGACCACACAGAGAAGUGGUAUGUUGACUCUCCAUAUUUAUUUGAAGCCUUUAUUAGAUAUGAAUUUGAGCUUUUGUUAAAUAAUCUAUUUAAGUAUCAACACAGACAUUUUAUUAAAGUUCCAAUGCAGCCAUUUGAAUCUCAAUAUCAAAUCAUUUAAUAUGGUAAAAAAAUAACCAAAAAUAGCUUCUUAGCAAAGAGCAAUUUCUCAAGCAACAUUUUUGGCUAGGACUGUCUGGGAGUGGUCUGAGUGGGUAGGGGAAAAAUGAAAACUAGCUGUUGGCAGAGAGGUUUGGAACUCUCUUUCUUAUUGGCUAAUUUACCGCCUGGUGAUGUCACCAGGAAAGCCAAUACUCCAUCCCACCAAAACAGGCUGCAAUUUCAGGCGGUCUUUUCAAACAGCUGUUACACUAAAACGGCAUAUUUCAGAAUUUUCAUAAUUUCACAGUAUUGUUCCUAACUCAUAGAGUGGAAAUAUAUAUAAAACACAGGAAAUAAAGUGUUUGAUUGCACUGGGCCUUUAACUUUUUAUUCUUGUCAUUUCUUGUAUUUCCAUCCAGGUGACCCACCACUUCUGACAUACUUUCUCCAGGAAAGGUUGGGUAUUAGAAUUAGGCGCAAAAAGACAUCAGAAGUUGUGAAGCCCCCUUUGAUAUUAUGUAUUGACUCAAAACGAAAGGUUUGAAUGCAAUAUUCUUAAUCCAUAUUUCGGCAUAGCACAUACUCAUUUAACUAGGAAGUAAGAUAUAACUGCACAUUUUUGACUGCACAGUCUUAGUUUUCAUUUCAAUAUUUUUCAAACUCAAUGCAUCUUACAUCAUUCGGGUCGAACAGAGACUAACUUUUGAUUUUGAAACUAAUUGAGGAACAUUCAUAUUUAUCUUUUUCUUCAGGUAAAAAACAAAAUCCCAAAGGUAACAAAGGUGCCUUUAUUGAUUCUCCUUGAAGAACUUUCUAGUCCUGCCUUACCUGAUCCUGGCUCUCUGGAGGAGAAGCAUGUUGAAGAUCAUUGUACGAAUCCUCUCUCAGUAGAGAGAAAGUCAACAGAAAAGUCUGGCUGCUCCUCACACGCAAUGGAUGAGGAAAAUAAACAGAAAUCCAUGGGAACUGCUCAUAUAGUCGAGGCAAUAGAGGAUGCAAUAGAAUCAUCAGAUGAUACCUUCCAACAUGGAGAGUCAUUCUUUGUGACACAGGUGACAGAUUUACAUGAUGAAUCUGAAUACCAUCUGCUAUCUGACGAGACAGAAGAAGUCAAAGAGAUUGAGGAGAAAAAUGAGUCAAAUGCAAUUCCAGGAAAAUUCAGAGGCUUUGAAUUGCUAUUGGAUGCCAAACCAGAUCCAGACAUGGUGGAGCCUGUUGGACUACAACACACUGUGAGAAUGUUGGAGCAAAAACUCAAGAAUCUUCUAGUUUACAGAGAUUCCAAACCUAACCUUGAUUGCCUGCAGAAGCCAUAUGAAGAGAAGGAGAAAAGGAUUGGAAAUCUACCAUCUCUGAGACCAAGAAAGCAGAGAGGAGAAAGAGUUGAAGAGAUGCUCAUACAAAUAAACGAGAGGAAAACAAUCAGCGAAAUCCCUCUAACUAACGUCUUAGAAGGCAAGGGCGUCUUCAAGGAUGAGUAUGAAGAGGCUUUGACUUUGCUGAGGGAUAUGAAGAAAAGGUACAAGAUGGUUCACAUGAAGGCAGUGGAGCAAGCAACACAUAUGGAGUAUGAGAGGACCACCAACCACAAGUAGAGAUUCACAAACUCUGGUACUUUCAGGAAACAUGAACAUUAAACAAUCAACCAAACACUCUUCUUCCAAUUUAGGUGAAGAGAAUGAUCAGCUACAAAUUAUUUCUGGGCUGAAGGGAAAACGUUCUUAUUGAGUUUAUUUAGCCCAUCUAUGACAACUGUUAAUGUAUAACAUAAUGUAUAUGUAUAACAUUAUCAUCAUGCACUUGUUUGUCUUUCAUUAUUAAAUAGCUCUGUUUCAACUUUAUUCAACCUUGACAAGAAGGUGACAGUGGAUCUUGCAAAUGGAGGCACUGUCACCCAGGCUCAUGGCAGUUUUGUAUUUCAGUGGGGUAUCAAUAAAAUCUGUUUUAAUAAAUUAGUUGGUAAAACAAUCUAACAAGGUGCCAAUGUGAUAUGGGGUGAACUGUCAUCACUUCAACUUUGUGUGUCGUUAUGAUUCUGUACAAAUACUAUGCAACAGACCCUGAACGCUUGAUGCUCUUGAACAUAUCCCGCGCAAACACUCAUGACAGGAAGUAAAUAAAGGACCGUAAAUUACGUCGGUGUGUUCCCGCCUGAAACGGAGGCAAAAGAGCUAUCGAAUAGAUAGCAACAUACAUUGGACAAUGGAUGACCUUUGGAUAAUAUUGAUGAAUUUGUCAACGACCAGAAUAAAAUCUGCUAUAUCAUUACCUGGACCGCAAGAGGAACUAAAGCUCAGCUCUGCUCCAUGCUACCUACCUUGUGUCUGGCAAGUUUGUCAAGAAUGAUACCACGAUGUGAAGUCGAAGCAGAGCCUGACCGUCAGUGUACAGUGUUCAGACGGCAGUGCUGAAAGACAGUGGUCCCCUGUACAGUGCGGAUUAUGAUGCUGUGAAAGAGAACCUAAGGAACUGCAGCAGGUACAGUGCAAUUCGCUGUGCUGAUGCAGUACCCAUGUCCUCGACAGAGGUGCAGCAGGCUCAUGAGAUGACACAGGCCCCACCGCUAGAGACGUCGCACACCAAAUCUGGCAUCAAUGGUCAUUCUAGUCUGGUCUCUAAACCCACCCCCAAGCAGUCCAAAGGUGUUAUGGGAAUGUUUGCAAACAAGAAUGUCUCCAAGAGUCAAGCAAAGAGUGAACAUUGGAGCAGAGAGAGGAUGCACCUGUGGUGCAUGUUUCUGUGCUCUGCAAAAGCCAUGUGAUGUUCAUUUCAUCCGGUACAACCCAUAAUGCUAUACCUUGUGAUGUCACAUUUAUUUGAUAUUGUAGGUUGAGCCCUCCAAAACUAAACCAGCUCCAAAGACGCAUCCUAUGAGUAACUUCUUUGGGAAUCAAGCAACCAAUAAAUCCUGUAUGUCUGCCACAUCUGGCUUACAUCUGACAAAUCCAUCAAGGAAGAGGUAGAAGCAGCCCAUAUGUCCUCUUCAGUGGAUGAGAAGCCCUCAAGACAAGUCCCUAAAGCAGAGACUCCUGUCAAGGAGGAACUACCAAAAGGUGCUGUGGUUGAGAAAGAUAUUAGUCCAUGCAGGAGCUUUCGGAUUGUAAAAGGAGGAAGAGGAGACCUGUCUUGAAACCUCGCACCUUUUUGGAUGACGAGAUUGUGACUGAGAAAAGCUAUGAGAGUGAAUCCUACUCUGAGACGGAGGAUGACUUUAAGGCAAGUAAACCAUCCCAGAUGAAUCCAGACCUACCAAAACCAUCAACUGGCAAGAAAGGGGAGGAGAAGGAAGAAUGUUGCAGCCUCUAAUAAAUCAACUAAGCAGGCUUCUAUUAUGGGAUUCUUUCAAAAGAAAUGUCUGACAUACUCGCAAUGUACUGAACACUGAGAAGAUUAACAUCCAUUUUGAGGGACUUGAGGCCCAGGUGGAGAGAAUCUAGACUGACGCACAUUAUCAAAUGUCCCGGCAACAUUUGGAAGAAUGCUGUCAUUUUUUUCCUAUUUAAAAAAAUAAAAAAAUAAAUUGAAUAUAUUUCCACAUUACUGUAUAUGAUAAAGUGGCAUAAAUAUAUCCACAACACAUUGUAAAGUACCGUCAGAGCUAGUUGACCAUUGCCAUGUUAUUGUAGCAUUUAUUUUGUGGGUUUGAAAUUGGUUACAAUUCUGCAAGUAUUGAAGGGUUCAUACUGUGAGGAACCAGAACACAUUCUGAACAGCCGCAGUACGGCACGCUCUUACCUGCCUCCUCAACUGGUGCCUUUCCUUGGGUCUUGUGGAAAAAAAUGUCUGUCGGAAUGCAUUUUAAUUUUUUUAAUGGUAGAAAAUGAACUUGAAAGUUUAAUCUGCAUAUUCAUUAAAGAUGGUGUUUUCAUAUAUUUACUUGUGUUCGCUACAGUAUAUUAAAGCCAAGUUGAAACAUUUUCAAUAUUCACAAUAUACAGUCUGAUCCAAUCACGGAAAUGGUUUGUGUAGAAAAUGGGUAUUCCCAAACUGGGGUGCAAUGUACGUCAAAUAAAAAUGUGAAUCAAUAA